AUGAUUCAGCUGAAGUACUUGCGCAUUGACUGCAGAUCCCUUGACACCCUCCCGUUGAGCAUUGCAAGACUCCUCAACUUGCAGACGCUCGACAUAAGCAACACAGGUGUCCUAAAGAUCACCAAUGACUUCUGGAAGAUCAGGACACUGAGGCAUGUGCUCGCAAGCAACCUCACACUUCCAGCAAAAAUACCAAUCGUAGAAGCAGGUCAUGAUGAGAGUGGGCUGCAAACGCUACAUGGUGUGAAGCCCGUCGCCUCCGAAAAGUGGAGCAUAGGGAACUGUCCGUUGGACAAGAUGGGAGGCCUACUAUCACUGGAGAUGCAUGGUUUCCAGUAUGCGGAACACGGAGGGAGUGCAUUCAAGGAAGCUCUCACGAAGAUGCAUCUCCUCGGCCACUUGAAGUUGCAAGGUGACGAGAUCCCAUUAUGUGUCUUCACCGACCCAAGCUUGCAAAGUCUCGAGACCAUGGAGCUAAAUGGAGAAGUGAAGUGGAAGGACAUCCUCCCAAAAUCAGAAAACAUCAAUGUGGUGCGUGACAUCAUUCCAGAAAACACCAAUGAGGUGGGUGAAAUUGUCCCAGAAAACAACAGUGUCGUGGGUGACAUCAUCCCCAAGGAAAACAUCAAUGUACCAGUUGAUACCGUCCCAGAGGGUAACAUCAGUGUGGCAAGUGAUGUCUCGAUGAACAACGUUGCUCCGGUCAGUAGUCUUAUUCUCAAACUCCGACCAAACCUUGUUCAAAUCAAACUGAAUGAUAUCAAUCCAGUGUCAAAAAUCAUGGAAGAUCAACUGUGGGAGAUAAUUGUUGGAGAAAAAAGAGCAACAGGAGGAGAAGCAGAAGGAGGAAAAGGAGGGGAAGGAGGAGGACAACAACGAGAGGGAGGAGGAGCAAUGGGAGGAGAAGGUGGAGGACGAAACGGAGGGGAAGGAGGAGGACAACAACGAGAGGGAGGAGCAGCAGCAGAAGAUGUAGGAGGAAACGGAGAAGGAGGGGAGGGACGAGUGGAAGGAGGAGGAGGAGGAGGAAAAUGGGAAGUAGAAGCAAGAAGAGAAGGAGCCGUCGGAGGGAAAGGAGGAGCCGAAGAAGUAGUAGGAGGAGGAGGACAAGGAGAAAGAGUAGAACCACGAAGAGGAGGACCACAAGAAGUAGGAGGAGGAAAAGGAUGUGGACAAGAAGCAGGAGGAGCAGAAAAAGCAGAAGAAGAAGAAGCAAGAGGAGGAGCAAAAGGAGGAGGAAAAGGAUAUGGACAAGAAGCAGGAGGAGCACAAAAAGCCGAAGAAGAAGCAAGAGGAGGAGCAAAAGGAGGAGGAAGACCAGAGCAGAGGCAGUGGCUGAGCCAGCCCGCUCAGGAAGCCUGGGCAAAGCCUUUGCACGAUGACCUCGUCCAGCGUUUGCCUCAGCAAUUAGCAAUACUAAUCACGGUGUCUUUGUAUUAUUUAACGAAGUAUGGCCAGAGCAGCCCAGCCGAGAGCAGCACAGGGUCGCCGGGAGUUAGCUCUGCCCCUGGACGAGAGGGAAAAGGAGAGGAAGCAAUAGGAGGAGGAGAAGAGGAAGUAGCUGAGAAGGCGAAGGCAACGUCAAGUAAUAUCCAUUUCAUGCAACCAGUGUCGUUACCUGACAGGUACGAAAGACUGAUCGCUAGGAAGGGCAAGAUGAAGCAUAGGAAGACCGGGGAAAGACUUCUGAAGAAGGGCAAGUUGGUGCCAGGAACCAAACGUCCGAGUCCAAGGUGA
rnacentral:rRNA from 1 species